rnacentral:lncRNA from 1 species
UUGAUAUUUUAUUUUUAAAGGAGAAAUGAGAGAAGACUGCACAGAACAGGAAAUCAGAGAUGGUGGUUCUCUCAGAAUGGUUCACUUUGGCUUGGUGUAAACAAUAAAAAACUUUCUUUUUACUUAAAAAAAGAAACAAAACCUUUAUUUUUCACAUCUAAACUUUGUCAUGGCCUGAUACAGAUCUGAAUCUCCUCGUACAGAUUAAAAAGAGGAAAGACUGUAUGAAUUAGUUAAGAGAAUAUUCAGAAUAUUCUCAAAGUAAACUUUUACUAGUUUCAGAAACAUGUAGCAUAACAGCAGUGAUCCUAAGUAAAAGUCCUUUAUUUAUUUUCAAUAAUGUAAAAUUUUCAAAGUUUCUUAAAUUGUGCAAUAGGUG